rnacentral:rRNA from 1 species
GUAGGUGGCAAGCGUUGUCCGGGAAUUAUUGGGGCGUAAAGCGCGCGCAGGCGGUUCUUUAAGUCUGAUGUGAAAGCCCACGGGCUCAACCGUGGAGGGUCAUUGGAAACUGGAGAACUUGAGUACAGAAGAGGAAAGCGGAAUUCCACGUGUAGCGGUGAAAUGCGUAGAGAUGUGGAGGAACACCAGUGGCGAAGGCGGCUUUCUGGUCUGUAACUGACGCUGAGGCGCGAAAGCGUGGGGAGCAAACAGGAUUAGAUACCCUGGUAGUCCGCGCCGUAAACGAUGAGUGCUAAGUGUUAGGGGGUUUCCGCCCCUUAGUGCUGCAGCUAACGCAUUAAGCGCUCCGCCUGGGGAGUACGGCCGCAAAGGCUG